rnacentral:snoRNA from 1 species
AAGAUCAUACUUCACAGGAUCAUUUCUGUAGUAUAUCUUACUUUCCCUCAUCCUUAAAUGAGAAUGAAAUCAACCACGAUGAGGAGGUGUAGCUUCUUUCCCUGAGCGUGAGGAGAGGACACGAGAAAUUUGACUAUGUUUCAAAUUCUCUGUCGUCGAUGACCGUUCACCCCUUGUAUUCAGUACGGGAGGGUUGGGAACGGAGCUUUCUGAGUGGC